GGGGCGGCAGGGUAGCCUAGUGGUUAGAGUGUAGAGGAGGCAGGGUAGCCUAGUGGUUAGAGUGGAGAGGUGGCAGGGUAGCCUAGUGGUUAGAGUGGAGGGGCGGCAGGGUAGCCUAGUGGUUAGAGUGGAGGGGCGGCAGGGUAGCCUAGUGGGUAGAGUGGAGCCUAGUGGUUAGAGUGGAGGGGCGGCAGGGUAGCCUAGUGGUUAGAGUGGAGGGGCGGCAGGGUAGCCUAGUGGUUAGAGUGGAGGGGCGGCAGGGUAGCCUAGUGGUUAGAGUGGAGGGGCGGCAGGGUAGCCUAGUGGUUAGAGUGGAGGGGCGGCAGG
ensembl:lncRNA